rnacentral:rRNA from 1 species
GUGGGGAAUAUUGGACAAUGGGCGCAAGCCUGAUCCAGCCAUGCCGCGUGUGUGAAGAAGGUCUUCGGAUUGUAAAGCACUUUAAGUUGGGAGGAAGGGCAUUAACCUAAUACGUUAGUGUUUUAACGUUACCGACAGAAUAAGCACCGGCUAACUUCGUGCCAGCAGCCGCGGUAAUACGAAGGGUGCAAGCGUUAAUCGGAAUUACUGGGCGUAAAGCGCGCGUAGGUGGUUCAGUAAGUUGGAAGUGAAAUCCCCGGGCUCAACCUGGGAACUGCUUUCAAAACUGCUGAGCUAGAGUACGGUAGAGGGUGGUGGAAUUUCCUGUGUAGCGGUGAAAUGCGUAGAUAUAGGAAGGAACACCAGUGGCGAAGGCGACCACCUGGACUGAUACUGACACUGAGGUGCGAAAGCGUGGGGAGCAAACAGGAUUAGAUACCCCAGUAGUCC